AGUCGUCGCUAGUGUACACGGUAGGUCGUAGUGCGUCAUACCGUGUCACUGUGAUCUAAGGUGUGGGUCGACUGGUGCGGGUAGUUUUUCCCGAGAAUUUUCCGAGAGUUUUCCCGGCCGGCCAGUCAGCCCCCGUGAAAACCUUCUGUAAAAACUCGCAUUGUAAUCACGGAGGACGACCUUAACGCGGUCCGCGACGUUAUUGAUCGUCUCCGAACGGCGACGGACGUCGAACGAACGUUUGGAUUGCUGCCGACUGGGCCGCGACUCUGCGAGGCACCUACCCUAAUAGAAGUUCAUGUCAGCUAGUCUGUGUCCGUCCGUCCGUCAACGGUUGCUGCUUACCGAUGCGCAGUUACGAUUGUUGAAACCGGGAAUUCAUCACGCUCGCGGAGUGAGCUUUCAGGACUUGUUGUAUCGACGAGCCCGCCGAUGGAAUCUGGAUUCGGGAACAAACGCUCACGCGAAUGACAAUGCAAAUAGAACGAGACUAGGACGACUCAAGGAGGAGCCAGAAUUAAGUUUGUGAUUAGAAAAUAUGAAUCAUAUGCUGUUUUCAUUGUAACAACUAACAAGAUUCAUGUUCAUAGUUGCAGCUCGACAGAAUAUUGCAUAAUUAAAAUGAAUGUGUUAACAAUACCUUAACAGUUCUAAGAAAUAGGUAGUUCAUUGUUAGUAAUAUUACAGCUAAUGUAAGCAGUGGCGCAACCAGGAUUCAUUUUUCGGGGGGGGGGGGGGGGGGGGGUUGUAGAUAGUAGAUUUGGAAAAAAGAAAUUAUUUUUAAAGAUAUUUGUUGAGGAAAGGGGGUAAGAUUAAGUUAGGUUUAUGAGUAAAAUAUUUAAACUACAAAUUAGACGGUUUAACUUAUAUUUAUAAAUAAUGCACGUUGGGAAAUAAUUUAGGCUCAUUGAAUAUUUAAAUAAUAUACUUUAUUCAUAGUUCAUAAAUUAGAGUCUAAUAAUAUAAUAGUUUACAGUUUAAGAUUAAUUCGUCGUGUAGAGUGCUUUGCCAUUUCAUCUAGUACCAAAUCUGGUUUAACUUCGAUAUUAAGUUUUAAUUAAUAAUAAUUAUUAUUACAAUUUAAAACUUUUAACUUAAUACGUUACAAAAUUCAAAAUUCUAAUUUAUAUUGAAACAUUAAUCUUUUCAUGCACACAUAUUGUGAUACCACGAGUGAUACCACAAAAAAAGUUUUAUCAGUAUUCAGUAUUAUACAAUCGAAUCGAAUAUCGAGAACCGUAGUUGCAAGGAAAUUCAUGUUAUAUCAUUGUUAUCUAUAAUAAUACAAACAAAUCACGGUUGUAGCAUAGAAUAUUAAAAUAUCAAAUAUCAAUCAGCUGUUUCGCGUGUGCAAGAUCAACAAUUUUUUUUCUACGAUUAUAAAAACAUCAAAAAAAUUUCGGGGGGGGGGGGGUCACAACCCCCAAACCCCCCCCUUAGUUGCGCCACUGAAUGUAAGCAUUAUGUGUUGAAUUAGUAGCAAUCAAAAUUAUUAUAAAAUAAUAACCAGAAACAUGUUUAAAUCAAAUUUUGGAUAAUAGUGUAAUAAAUUAAAUUCAUGCAACCAUAUGAAGAUAUUGUUGGGAUUUAUCUGAAAACCUUAUGAAUUUGUAAAUUUCAACAAUAUUUA